rnacentral:rRNA from 2 species
CAACAUUAGUUAGUUGGUAGGGUAAAAGCCUACCAAGACGAUGAUGUUUAGCGGGGCCAAGAGGUUGUACCGCCACACUGGGAUUGAGAUACGGCCCAGACUCCUACGGGAGGCAGCAGUAAGGAAUAUUCCACAAUAAGCGAAAGCUUGAUGGAGCGACACAGCGUGCAGGAUGAAGUCUUUCGGGAUGUAAACUGCUGUUGUAAGGGAAGAAAAAACUAGAUAGGAAAUGCUCUAGUCUUGACGGUACCUUAUUAGAAAGCGACGGCAAACUAUGUGCCAGCAGCCGCGGUAAUACAUAGGUCGCAAGCGUUAUCCGGAAUUAUUGGGCGUAAAGCGUCCGUAGGUUUUUUGUUAAGUUUAAAGUUAAAUGCUAAAGCUCAACUUUAGUCCGCUUUAGAUACUGGCAAAAUAGAAUUAUGAAGAGGUUAGCGGAAUUCCUAGUGGAGUGGUGGAAUACGUAGAUAUUAGGAAGAACACCAAUAGGCGAAGGCAGCUAACUGGUCAUAUAUUGACACUAAGGGACGAAAGCGUGGGGAGCAAACAGGAUUAGAUACCCUGGUAGUCCACGCCGUAAACGAUGAUCAUUAGUUGGUGGCAAAAGUCACUAACACAGCUAACGCGUUAAAUGA